UUAAGUCGACCGCCUGGGGAGUACGGCCGCAAGGUUAAAACUCAAAUGAAUUGACGGGGGCCCGCACAAGCGGUGGAGCAUGUGGUUUAAUUCGAUGCAACGCGAAGAACCUUACCUGGUCUUGACAUCCACGGAAGUUUUCAGAGAUGAGAAUGUGCCUUCGGGAACCGUGAGACAGGUGCUGCAUGGCUGUCGUCAGCUCGUGUUGUGAAAUGUUGGGUUAAGUCCCGCAACGAGCGCAACCCUUAUCCUUUGUUGCCAGCGGUCCGGCCGGGAACUCAAAGGAGACUGCCAGUGAUAAACUGGAGGAAGGUGGGGAUGACGUCAAGUCAUCAUGGCCCUUACGACCAGGGCUACACACGUGCUACAAUGGCGCAUACAAAGAGAAGCGACCUCGCGAGAGCAAGCGGACCUCAUAAAGUGCGUCGUAGUCCGGAUUGGAGUCUGCAACUCGACUCCAUGAAGUCGGAAUCGCUAGUAAUCGUGGAUCAGAAUGCCACGGUGAAUACGUUCCCGGGCCUUGUACACACCGCCCGUCACACCAUGGGAGUGGGUUGCAAAAGAAGUAGGUAGCUUAACCUUCUGGAGGGCGCUUACCACUUUGUGAUUCAUGACUGGGGUGAAGUCGUAACAAGGUAACCGUAGGGGAACCUGCGGUUGGAUCACCUCCUUACCUUAAAGAAGC
rnacentral:rRNA from 1 species